AACGCACAUUGCGCCCCAUGGCAUUCCAUGGGGCACGCCUGUUCGAGCGUCAUUUCAACCUUCAAGCCUGGCUUGGUAUUGGGUCUGCUGCCCUGGCGGGCCUCAAAGAUAUUGGCGGUGGGCAACCCUCGAGCGUGAUGGACUCACGACAACGGGGCGGCUCGUCGCUGAAAGUUCUCUAUAGGUUGACCUCGGAUCAGGCGGGGAUACCCGCUGAACUUAA
rnacentral:misc_RNA from 1 species